UGUCAAGGGCAAAAAUGCAUGCUUUUGGUCUGUUUCAAAAAGACAACUGGUGUUUUGUGCCAGGGUUGCGGUCAUGCAGCUUGUGAUAAGACAUCCGAGAAAGAAGAGGUCUUAAGAGAAGAACACAGAUGCAUCCUUCUGUGAGACAAAUUGAUUUGGUGGAUCAUCACUGUAUGUGGCUUGCCAUUUGAUCCAGGUGCCAUGGUUUUAUUUUAACGUGCCACAGGAACACAAAGUUCUGUUUUCAGAACAUCACCUCGGCUCCAUACAAGUUCACCUCCACAGUCCCUGCGUUAUCCUCAACUUGAUCUUCUCAAAGACCUUGUUCAACAGAAAGAGAAUAAUUCUCCAGUGCUGGACAUAAAGGUACGUCAAAAGCAGAGCUGCUCCUUGUUGGACGUGGAUCUAGGCCAUUGUCUCUUUCCUCUGGAUGCGUUUGGGGUUACA